UUGGCUAGUUUCUUUUGGCCUUUUGAGGCUGUUGUUGCUGGGGUCCAGGAUCAGUACUUUGGUGAUUUGAUGGGACAUGCAGCUGAAUGCUGCCACAGGAGAGAUGUCUC